GUUGGUGUAGCUCCGUGGUAGAGUGCUUGCUUAGUAUGUAUGAUGUCCUGGGUUCAAUCCACAGCUUCCCCC